GAGAGGUACGCUGUUCGCAGCGCGCACGGC
rnacentral:sRNA from 1 species